CCUACGGGAGGCAGCAGUGGGGAAUAUUGGGCAAUGGAGGCAACUCUGACCCAGCAACGCCGCGUGAAUGAUGAAUGUCCUCGGAUUGUAAAGUUCUUUUCUAAGGGAAGAAGAAAGUGACGGUACCUUAGGAAUAAGCCUCGGCUAACUACGUGCCAGCAGCCGCGGUAAUACGUAGGAGGCAAGCGUUAUCCGGAAUGACUGGGCGUAAGGGGUGCAUAGGUGGUUUGACAAGUUAGUCGGGCAACUACGGGGCUCAACUUCGGAACUACUACUAAAACUGUUGGACUUGAGUACAGGAGGGGCAAUCGGAAUUCCUAGUGUAGCGGUGGAAUGCGUAGAUAUUAGGACGAACUCCAGUGGCGAAGGCAGAUUGCUAGACUGUAACUGACACUGAGGCACGAAAGCGUGGGGAGCAAACAGGAUUAGAUACCCUGGUAGUC
rnacentral:rRNA from 1 species